CUUCUAGGGUUAAUGCUCUACAUCUACCCUGUAGAUCCGAAUUUGUUUGAUACAGUGCGACAAAUUCGGUUCUAGAGAGGUUUGUGUGGGGCAUAUACAUUUGCUGC
rnacentral:pre_miRNA from 1 species